rfam:Brachypodium distachyon strain Bd21 chromosome 3, whole genome shotgun sequence.
CAGGGUACCUUUGAUCCUUUUUAGUUCAACAAAAUGAACUAAAUUUUUAAAAUGACACAAUUUUUUAGAAAAUUAGUUUAUUUGUUUGAACUAAGUAGGAUCAAAGGGUGACCCUU